CCCUUAGAUGUUCUGGGCCGCACGCGCGCUACACUGACGAAUGCAACGAGCUUAUAACCUUGGCCGAAAGGUCUGGGUAAUCUCCAAAUUUCGUCGUGAUGGGGAUAGAUUAUUGCAAUUAUUAAUCUUCAACGAGGAAUUCCUAGUAAGCGCGAGUCAUCAGCUCGUGCUGAUUACGUCCCUGCCCUUUGUACACACCGCCCGUCGCUCCUACCGAUUGAGUGCUCAGGUGAAUAAUUCGGACUGCAGCAAUGUUUGGAUCCCGAACGUUGCAGCGGAAAGUUUAGUGAACCUUAUCACUUAGAGGAAGGAGAAGUCGUAACA
rnacentral:rRNA from 1 species